rnacentral:tRNA from 1 species
GGAAAUGUAGUUAAGUGGUAAAGUGCUUGCCUAGCAUGCAUGAGGUCCUGGGUUGAAUCCCCAAUACCACCA